UGGGGGCACCCUGAUCAGCCAUGCCGCGUGUGUGAAGAAGGCCCUCGGGUUGUAAAGCACUUUCAGCGAGGAAGAACGCCUAGCGGUUAAUACCCGCUAGGAAAGACAUCACUCGCAGAAGAAGCACCGGCUAACUCCGUGCCAGCAGCCGCGGUAAUACGGAGGGUGCAAGCGUUAAUCGGAAUUACUGGGCGUAAAGCGCGCGUAGGUGGCUUGAUAAGCCGGUUGUGAAAGCCCCGGGCUCAACCUGGGAACGGCAUCCGGAACUGUCAAGCUAGAGUGCAGGAGAGGAAGGUAGAAUUCCCGGUGUAGCGGUGAAAUGCGUAGAGAUCGGGAGGAAUACCAGUGGCGAAGGCGGCCUUCUGGACUGACACUGACACUGAGGUGCGAAAGCGUGGGUAGCAAACAGGAUUAGAUACCCUGGUAGUCCACGCCGUAAACGAUGUCGACCAGCCGUUGGGUGCCUAGCGCACUUUGUGGCGAAGUUAACGCGAUAAGUCGACCGCCUGGGGAGUACGGCCGCAAGGUUAAAACUCAAAUGAAUUGACGGGGGCCCGCACAAGCGGUGGAGCAUGUGGUUUAAUUCGAUGCAACGCGAAGAACCUUACCUACUCUUGACAUCCUGCGAAUUUGGUAGAGAUACCUUAGUGCCUUCGGGAACGCAGAGACAGGUGCUGCAUGGCUGUCGUCAGCUCGUGUUGUGAAAUGUUUGGGUUAAGUCCCGUAACGAGCGCAAUCCUUGUCUCUUAUUUGCCAGCGCGUAAUGGCGGGAACUCUAAGGAGACUGCCGGUGACAAACCGGAAGAAGGUUGGGGGACGACGUCAAGUCAUCAUGGCCCUUUA
rnacentral:rRNA from 1 species